rnacentral:rRNA from 1 species
AUGAGCUCUCUCCUCCCCAAGCUGGGAGAGCUGCUCGUAGAGGAGUACAAGCUGAAGAAGAGUGUGAAGAAGGGGAUUGAAGAACUCAAGGCCGAGCUCGAGAGCAUGCAAGCAGCCCUCAUCAAGGUGUCCAGCGUGCCUCUAGAUCAACUCGACCCGCAGGUCAAGAUUUGGGCCAAUGAGGUCAGGGAGUUGUCCUACGCCAUCGAGGACAGCCUCGACUCAUUCGUGACCCGCGUCGAGGGUAAUGAGCCAACCAAGCCCAAAAUCAAGCACUUGCUCAAGAAGGCCCGCAAUGAGUUCAGCAAGUUCAAGGCACGCCAUGAAAUAGCCAAUGACAUCAAAGACAUUCAGAGCCAAGUUAGGAAGAUCAAGGAACGGCGCGACAGUUACAAGAUAGACGAUGUUGAUGCAAAUCCUGCAGCAACUACAGUUGACCCUCGUCUCCCAGCUCUAUACAAAAAGUUGUCUGACCUGGUGGGUAUUGACAAGCCAAUUAAUGAGCUGAUAAAGAUCCUGUCCGAGGGGGUUCCCAUGCCUGAUAAAAAUCCCAAGAUAGUCUCUAUUGUUGGAUUUGGAGGACUGGGAAAGACAACCCUUGCAAAAGCAUUGUAUGACAAGCUUAGCACAAAAUAUCAACGAGUUACAACAUAUCAGUGUCAUGGUUUUGUUCCAGUGGGUCAGAACCCAAAGGCAAAGAAAGUUCUUCUGGAUAUAGUCUGUGAACUUGACAAGGAGUUGUACAAAGCUGCAACAACAAUGGAUGAAAGGCAGCUGAUCAACGAGUUGCAGACGUUCCUUGCAGGCAAGAGGUACUUUAUUGUUAUUGAUGACAUAUGGGAUACACAAAUAUGGGAAACGAUUAAGUGUGCUUUCAUGGAUAGUCAUCCGGAAAGUAGAUUAAUCAUAACUACCCGUAUUGUUGAUGUUGCCACCAAAGCUGGUGGUAUCUACCACAUGCAACCACUUUCUGAUGAUUACUCCAAAAUAUUAUUCUAUACAAGAACAUCUGGUAGUGAAGGACCUGCUGAAGUGACUACCAAAAUUUUAAAGAAAUGUGGUGGUGUGCCAUUAGCUAUCACUACAAUAGCUAGCUUGCUUGUUGGUAAACACACUGAGGACUGGUCUAAGGUGUAUGAUGCCAUUGGUUUUGGGCAUGCAGACAAUGGAGAUGUUCAUAACACAAGAAAGAUAUUAUCUUUUAGCUAUUAUGAUCUGUCGUCCAAUCUUAAGACAUGUUUAUUGUAUCUUAGUGUGUUUCCUGAAGAUUAUUUAAUUAAUAAAAUAUCACUGAUAUGGAGGUGGGUUGCCGAAGGAUUUAUACCAUAUGGAGAAGGGAUGAACCAUUUGAACUUGGAGAGAUCUAUUUCAACAAGCUUGUAA